AGUGGACGCUGGCGGUAGGCCUAACACAUGCCAGUCGAACGGCAGCACAGUAAGAGCUUGCUCUUACGGGUGGCGAGUGGCGGACGGGUGAGGAAUACAUCGGAAUCUACUUUUUCGUGGGGGAUAACGUAGGGAAACUUACGCUAAUACCGCAUACGACCUACGGGUGAAAGCAGGGGAUCUUCGGACCUUGCGCGAUUGAAUGAGCCGAUGUCGGAUUAGCUAGUUGGCGGGGUAAAGGCCCACCAAGGCGACGAUCCGUAGCUGGUCUGAGAGGAUGAUCAGCCAAACUGGAACUGAGACACGGUCCCGACUCCUAAGGGAGGCAGCAGUGGGGAAUAUUGGACAAUGGGCGCAAGCCUGAUCCAGCCAUACCGCGUGGGUGAAGAAGGCCUUCGGGUUGUAAAGCCCUUUUGUUGGGAAAGAAAAGCAGCAGGUUAAUACCCCGCUGUUCUGACGGUACCCAAAGAAUAAGCACCGGCUAACUUCGUG
rnacentral:rRNA from 1 species